AAGGGAGGAGCAGGAGCCACAGGGCCCGGGAGACGGGCGCCGGUCCGGGCGCAGCGCGACAUGUAGCUGCCGGCUCCCGCGCCCGCUUCAGGGUCGGCCCGGGGUCCCGCCAUGGCUGGGAAGGACAGUGGGAACCUGAAGACGGUGAGGCUGUGGCGCGACGCCGCCCUGCGCGCCAGGAAGCUGCGGAGCAACCUGCGCCAGCUCACCCUCAGCGCGGCCGGGGGCUGCCCGGGAGCCGGCGCCGACCCGCUGGAGUCCCCCGAAGCCCCCCAGCUCGUGCUGCCGGCCAACAUCGGGGACAUUGAGGUGCUGAACCUGGGGAACAACGGCCUGGAGGAGGUGCCACAUGGGUUGGGGUCGGCGCUGGGCAGCCUGCGCGUACUAGUCCUGCGCAGAAACCGCUUCGCCCGGCUGCCCCCGGCGGUGGCCGAGUUGGGCCACCACCUCACGGAACUGGACGUGAGCCACAAUCGGCUGACCGCCCUGGGCGCGGAGGUGGUGAGUGCCCUGCGGGAGCUGAGGAAGCUCAACCUCAGCCACAACCAGCUGCCCUCUCUGCCCGCCCAGCUGGGCGCCCUCGCCCACCUGGAGGAGCUAGAUGUCAGCUUCAACCGGCUGGCGCACCUACCCGACUCCCUGUCCUGCCUCCACCGUCUGCGCACCCUGGACGUGGACCACAACCAGCUCACUGCCUUUCCCCAGCAGCUGCUGCAGCUGGUGGCCCUGGAGGAGCUGGACGUGUCCAGCAACCGGCUGCGGGGCCUACCUGAGGAUAUCAGUGCCCUGCGUGCCCUCAAGAUCCUCUGGCUGAGUGGGGCUGAGCUUGGCACCCUGCCCAGCAGCUUCUGUGAGCUGGCCAGCCUGGAGAGCCUCAUGCUAGACAACAACGGGCUGCAGGCCCUACCCGCCCAGUUCAGCCGCCUGCAAAAGCUGAAAAUGCUCAAUCUCUCUUCCAACCUCUUUGAGGAGUUCCCUGCUGCACUGCUGCCCCUGGCUGGUCUGGAGGAACUCUACUUGAGUCGGAACCAGCUCACCUCAGUGCCAUCCCUUAUCUCCGGCCUGAGCCGCCUUCUCACCCUGUGGCUGGAUAAUAACCGGAUCCGCUACCUGCCCGACUCCAUUGUGGAGCUAACGGGCCUGGAGGAGCUAGUGCUGCAAGGGAACCAGAUCGCUGUGCUGCCUGACAACUUCGGCCAGCUCUCCCGGGUGGGCCUGUGGAAGAUCAAGGACAACCCGCUGAUCCAGCCCCCCUACGAGGUCUGUAUGAAGGGCAUCCCGUACAUCGCAGCCUACCAGAAGGAGCUGGCUCAUUCCCAGCCGGCGGUGCAGCCCCGCCUCAAGCUGCUCCUCAUGGGCCAUAAGGCGGCAGGAAAGACCUUGCUCCGUCACUGCCUCACCGAAGAGAGAGCGGAGGGAAACCAAGGAGGAGGGGACAGGGAGAAGAGCUACCCACCUUCACCUCCGCCCGUGAGCAAGGGCAUCGAGGUGACUAGCUGGACAGCCGAUGCUUCCCGGGGCCUGCGGUUCGUUGUUUAUGACUUAGCUGGUGAUGAGAGUUACGAGGUGAUCCAGCCCUUCUUCCUCUCCCCAGGGGCGCUUUACGUGCUAGUAGUCAACUUGGCCUCCUACGAGCCGCGCCGCUUUCCCACCACAGUGGGCUCCUUCUUGCAUCGGUUGGGGGCCCGGGUGCCGCAUGCCGUGGUGUGUAUUGUGGGCACGCACGCAGACCUGUGUGGGGAGUGGGAGCUGGAGGAGAAGUGCCUGGACAUUCACCGCCAGAUUGCCCUGCAGGAGAAGCAUGAUGCAGAGGGGCUCAGCCGCCUGGCCCAGGUGGUGGACGAGGCACUGGCCCAGGACUUCGAGCUGCGCUCCGCCAGCCCCCAUGCAGCCUACUAUGGCGUUUCGGACAAGAACCUUCGGCGACGCAAGGCCCAUUUUCAGUACUUGCUCAACCACCGGCUGCAGAUUCUCUCCCCCGUGUUGCCUGUUAGUUGCAGGGACCCUCGCCAAUUGCAACGCCUGCGGGACAAGCUGCUCUCGGUCGCUGAGCACCGGGAAAUCUUCCCCAACUUACACAGAGUACUGCCUCGAUCCUGGCAGGUGCUGGAGGAACUGCACUUCCAGCCACCUCAGGCACAACGACUUUGGCUGAGCUGGUGGGACUCAGCGCGCCUGGGCCUGCAGGCGGGUCUGACCGAGGACCGGCUGCAGAGUGCCCUUUCCUACCUGCACGAGAGCGGCAAGCUGCUCUACUUUGAGGACAGCCCAGCCCUCAAGGAGCAUGUCUUCCACAACCUCACCCGCCUCAUUGACAUCCUCAAUGUCUUUUUCCAGAGGGAUGCCUCCUUGUUGCUGCAUAAGCUGCUCUUAGGGACCAGUGGAGAUGGGGAGGCGGAUGGAGAAAGCUCCUCCCUGACGGGGCUGCCUGCCCCAAGCCAGGACCUGCUCCGGGCCACGCAGCUCCAUCAUUACGUGGAGGGCUUUCUGCUGCAUGGACUCUUGCCAGCCCAUGUCAUUAGGUUGCUGCUUAAGCCUCACGUCCAGGCCCAGGAGGACUUGCAGUUGCUGUUGGAGCUCCUAGAGAAGAUGGGACUCUGUUACUGCCUCAAUAAACCCAAGGGCAAGCCUUUGAAUGGGUCCACAGCCUGGUACAAGUUCCCAUGCUACGUGCAGAACGAGGUGCCCCAUGCAGAGGCCUGGAUUAACGGGACCAACCUGGCUGGGCAGUCUUUCGUGGCUGAGCAGUUGCAGAUUGAGUAUAGUUUUCCCUUUACCUUUCCACCUGGGUUGUUCGCACGCUACAGCGUCCAGAUCAACAGCCACGUGGUGCACAGAUCAGAUGGUAAAUUUCAGAUCUUUGCAUAUAGAGGGAAAGUUCCUGUGGUCGUGAGUUACAGACCUGCCAGGGGGGUCUUGCAGCCAGACACACUGUCUAUUGCCAGCCAUGCGUCGUUACCAAAUAUAUGGACGGCAUGGCAAGCCAUUACCCCCUUGGUGGAGGAACUGAAUGUCCUGCUUCAGGAAUGGCCUGGACUGCACUACACCGUGCACAUCCUCUGUUCUAAGUGCCUUAAGAGAGGGUCGCCCAAUCCACACGCUUUCCCAGGGGAGCUGCUGAGUCAGCCCAGACCUGAAGGAGUGGCAGAGAUCAUUUGCCCCAAGAAUGGCAGCGAGCGAGUGAAUGUUGCCUUGGUUUACCCACCUACACCGACUGUGAUCAGCCCCUGUUCCAAGUAUCUCCACUCUUUCUUGGACAAUUAAGUGGAAAAGAUAGUGCUUCUUUCCCCUAUGCCAUCAUUUUUACUGUAUCCCAUCUGUGACUUUAGGAGCACCAGUUUUUAAGGGAAGAACGUUGGCGAAAAGCACAGAAACCAGUGACUUGUGUGGCUGUGGAAUUUCCGUGGAGAGAAGAGAAUACCGGAACUCACCUGGACAUCCUGUGUACCUGGCCAGCCCUCCGCACCCCCGAGGGAGCCUCUGACCUCCAGCGAAUAAGCGUUCAGGGUGCUUUCAGAGGAGAGAGCAAAGCCCUGGCUUGUUGAAGAAGCGGGGAGGUGGUGAGGAGGGGGCAGAGAGGGCAAGGGUGGGAGAGAAUGUGGAGCAGAUGUUUCACACCCGGAACCUCAGAACUGUGGUCCUCCAAGGAGAGCGCUACUUGAAGAAAAGAAAAGGAAAAAAAAAAAAAAAGGUCUAAUGGCUUCUCAG